CAAUACAUAUGUAGGAUUUGUCCUUGAAGGCUCUCAGGAGUGGGACGAGCCGACUUUCCUAGGCGGGAAGUCAGUAGUCGAUAAGCAAUCUAACGAAAAAGAUCGAUUCGAUCAAAACGGUGACCAGUAUAGUGAAAUCAAAUAAUACCCUUAUUUUGUUAAACUAUUAAAUAAAACUUAAGUUACAAUUCCGA